rnacentral:tRNA from 1 species
GCACUGGCUUUUGAUGCCAGCAUUCCCUGGUUCGAAUCCAGGUAGCCCAGCCA